rnacentral:rRNA from 1 species
UGGGGAAUCUUAGACAAUGGGCGCAAGCCUGAUCUAGCCAUGCCGCGUGAGCGAUGAAGGCCUUAGGGUUGUAAAGCUCUUUCGUGGGGGAAGAUAAUGACUGUACCCCAAGAAGAAGCCCCGGCUAACUCCGUGCCAGCAGCCGCGGUAAUACGGAGGGGGCUAGCGUUGUUCGGAAUUACUGGGCGUAAAGCGCACGUAGGCGGACCGGAAAGUCAGAGGUGAAAUCCCAGGGCUCAACCUUGGAACUGCCUUUGAAACUCCUGGUCUUGAGGUCGAGAGAGGUGAGUGGAAUUCCGAGUGUAGAGGUGAAAUUCGUAGAUAUUCGGAGGAACACCAGUGGCGAAGGCGGCUCACUGGCUCGAUACUGACGCUGAGGUGCGAAAGCGUGGGGAGCAAACA